AUUGAACGCUGGCGGCAGGCUUAACACAUGCAAGUCGAACGAGUGGCGGACGGGUGUGUAAUGCUUGGGAACCUCGCUUAUGGAGGGGGAUAACUACGGGAAACUGUAGCUAAUACCGCGUACCUUAGGAUGAGCCCAAGUGGGAUUGGGUGGUUGGUGUGGUAAAGGCUCACAAGGCCGAAGAACUCUAGCCGGUCCGAGAGGAUGACCUGCCAACCUGGAACUGGGACACGGCCCAGACCCCUACGGGAGGCAGCAGAGGGAAAUAUUGCGCAAUGGUGGCAACCUGACGCAGCCAUGCCGCGUAGUUGAAGAAGGCCUUCGGGUUGUAAAGUUCUUUCGGUGGCGAGGCGUUAACUACAGAAGAAGCACCGGCUAACUCCGUGCCAGCAGCCGCGGUAAUAC
rnacentral:rRNA from 1 species